GACGAACGCUGGCGGCGUGCUUAACACAUGCCAGUCGAACGCGCCUGUCCUCUGGGUUUCUGGGGGGUGGGUGAGUGGCGAACGGGUGAGUAACACGUGAGUAACCUGCCCCCUUCUUCGGGAUAACGGUCUGAAAGGGCUGCUAAUACCGGGUAUUCACUCGUCUCCGCAUGGGGUCUGGUGGAAAGGUUUUUUUCUGGUGGGGGAUGGGCUCGCGGCCUAUCAGCUUGUUGGUGGGGUGAUGGCCCACCAAGGCUUUGACGGGUAGCCGGCCUGAGAGGGGGACCGGUCACAUUGGGACGGAGAUACGGCCCAGACUCCGACGGGAGGCAGCAGUGGGGAAUAUUGCACAAUGGGCGCAAGCCUGAUGCAGCGACGCCGCGUGAGGGAUGGAGGCCUUCGGGUUGUGAACCUCGUUCGCCCGUGGUCAAGCCGCGACGUGGGUCGUGGUGAGGGUAGUGGGUAAAGAAGCGCCGGCUAACUACGUG
rnacentral:rRNA from 1 species